AUUGAACGCUGGCGGCAGGCCUAACACAUGCACGUCGAGCGGAGCGGCGGACGGGUGAGUAAUGCCUAGGAAUCUGCCUGGUCGUGGGGGAUAACGUCCGGAACCGGGCGCUAAUACCGCAUACUAUCAGAUGAGCCUAGGUCGGAUUAGCUAGUUGGUGGGGUAAAGGACUACCAAGGCGACGAGCCGUAACUGGUCUGAGAGGAUGAGCAGUAAAACUGGAACUGAGACACGGUCCAGACUCCUACGGGAGGCAGCAGUGGGGAAUAUUGGACAAUGGGCGAAAGCCUGAUCCAGCCAUGCCGCGUGUGUGAAGAAGGUCUUCGGAUUGUAAAGCACUUUAAGUUGGGAGGCGUUACCAACAGAAUAAGCACCGGCUAACUUCGGGCCAGCCGCCGCGGUAAGUC
rnacentral:rRNA from 1 species